AUUGAACGCUGGCGGCAGGCCUAACACAUGCAAGUAGAGCGAGUGGCGGACGGGUGAGUAAUGUCUGGGAAACUGCCGGAUGGAGGGGGAUAACUACUGGAAACGGUAGCUAAUACCGCAUACCAUCAGAUGUGCCAAGAUGGGAUUAGCUAGUAGGUGGGGUAACGGCUCACCUAGGCGACGAUCCCUAGCUGGUCUGAGAGGAUUGCCAGAAAGGCUGGAACUGAGACACGGUCCGUACGCGGGGGGGGGGGGGCGGUGGGGGGGAUUUGAGAAUGGGCGCAAGCCUGAGGCAGCCAUGCCGCGUGUGUUAAGAAAGCCUUCGGGUGUGGAGACACUUUCAGCGGGGAGGCGUUACCCGCAUAAGAAGCACCGGCUAACUCCGUGCCAGCAGCCGCGGUAAUUC
rnacentral:rRNA from 1 species